UACAGAGGUGGCAAGCGUUGUUCGGAAUUACUGGGCGUAAAGGGCGCGUAGGCGGUUUCGUAAGUCCUGUGUGAAAUCCCCCCGGCUCAACUGGGGAACUGCACAGGAAACUGCGAGGCUUGAGUUCGGGAGAGGGAAGCGGAAUUCCGGGUGUAGCGGUGAAAUGCGUAGAUAUCAGGAGGAACACCGGUGGCGAAGGCGGAUCUCUGGGCCUGUCCUGACGCUCAGGCGCGAAAGCUAGGGGAGCAAACAGG
rnacentral:rRNA from 1 species